GAUGAAGAACGUAGCGAAAUGCGAUACGUAAUGUGAAUUGCAGAAUUCAGUGAAUCAUCGAAUCUUUGAACGCACAUUGCGCCCUUUGGUAUUCCUUAGGGCAUGCCUGUUCGAGCGUCAUUUAAACCUUCAAGCUAAGCUUGGUGUUGGGUGACUGUCCGCUUCACGGCGGACUCGCCUCAAAAUUAUUGGCGGCCGGUACAUUGGCUUCGAGCGCAGCAGAAACGCGAACUCGGGCCCGUCGUAUUGGCUCCCAGAAGCUAUCUUCACAAUUUUGACCUCGGAUCAGGUAGGGAUACCCGCUGAACUUAAGCAUAUCAAUAAGCGGAGGA
rnacentral:misc_RNA from 1 species